ACACAUUGGGUGAGGAGGCUUGAUGUACUCGUUCUUGAAAGAUGGCCCUUUCAGCUUGAGAAUCUUUAGAGAGAACAGAGAGAACGAAUCUUCUGGAUCACUUCAGCAGGUUCAUAGAUAGCGACAGAUUGAUGUGGAGGCUUCAAUGCAAUCUGUCACAUAAUCUUCAAGUACAAAUUGGCCUUGCCUCUGGGGCUGAAAGAUUGAAUGUUGGAAGAAUAAUCUUCAUUUCUUGUUCCUUCGAAUGAGAAUUCUUCGAUGAUCACGGACGAAGCCUUGGCUCAGAAAAUCUCGAUACAGUCUCCAUGAGUCUCAUCUGUUGGGUUUUGAGCAUUCUAACACUUCCUAAGUGUACAUGCAACCCUAAAUACCUUGGAUCUAUGUUUUCUCUAUUAUACAUGCAAAUAAGAACUUCCAAGGUAUUAUCCUAAUCUAGCAUACAAAACAAUAACUAUAGCAAGAUAGAAUACAUACCUCUUUGGUGUAGAAUGUCUUCAUGAAGCUUGAGUGCUUAGUGCCCCAAGUGUGACACCUCAAAUGGAAUCACAAUCAUCAAAACACUUAGAAUAACUUGAGAGAAUUCUACACUCUUCAAAAUCGGCUAGCCCUUUCUUCACUAUCUCUAGUGGCCGAUUUUUCCUCAAUAAUAAGAUGCUUAUAUAGUUACACAAUUAGGGUAAACUCUUAAUUGUCAUGGCUUUCCAUUUCCUUGGAUCCAUGGGUACAAAUACACCAUGGAGCAUCCAUGGACCAUCCUAUGGGUUUUAGCCCAACUUGAUUAUCCAUGGAGCAUUAGCCCACUAUACAAGUAUGGAUGAUUUACACAAUCAACCCAUAUAUUUAAUUAGUCUUCUUUUGAUCACUUAAUUAAUCCUAGAUUAAUUCUUGAUCAAUACUAAUUAAAUAAUCUUAUUAUUCUUAUUAUUAAUAUACUAGAACUUAUAAUAUAUUAAUAACCAUAAGUGUCUUAUUUCUCUCAUUCAAGUGCAUGAUGGUAUGCAACCCAAAUGGACCAUGCCGGGUCGGGUCAAGUCUUACCAAAUAUAGUUAUGGACUUAGACAUUAAUCCAACAGUCUCCCACUUGGAUAAGUCUAAAACUAUUAUUGCGUAUGACUUCAGGAACCAACCGGCAAUCGUAGCUCUCAAAAGCUUCUGUCGAACUCUGACCUUGUAGAUGAACUCUGACCUUUGUCAGUGACUUGUCCAUUAGAUAAGGGAUCAUAUAUUCCUCCAUUCUAGAUAUCAUAUGGACUGAGACAUGGAUUAUAAUCAUUCUCUCUGUCCAUUUGUUGUUUCCCGAUUUCCGAUUUAUGACGACUGACUAAUUGAACAAAUCAAAUCAGUCCUGGCCCGGCCGAGCACUUCCAUUUGUCAUCAUCAAAUCAUCGAGGGGCCCACAGAUAUCGCUUUUAUCCCGAAGGUAAAAGGAACGGAUAAACUUCGACUCAUAUGGCUUGUUCUACUACUUGUUGAAUCAUACACAAAGGCACGUUUUAUAGCACCGAGUUACCAAAUGCGUUUUCGUGCUAUCAAUGUACUAUCAACUCAUAGUAACAACUCAUAUCUCUAGGUUUGAAGAAUAUAAGAUAUUAUCGUCUCAUGAUCACUCGUGAUAAAAUCCAUGAAGUGAUUCCAAUGAGCGCGGGUUGAAUCCAAUACUCAGAACUUAUGAGCACUCAUGAUUGUUGUAGCCUUGUCCAACACCUUAGACCUCUACAACCCAUCAUGACAGUCUUAAUUCAUAUCUACUUCCAACAUAUGACCGACUGUGGAUGGUUUGAAUAACUUAGUCAUUCCGGAAGAAUAACCCAGUUUAUUCGGGAAGUCAAAACAUGCAAAGUGAAACACAAUAAUAAUUGAAUCCAAUAUGGUAUCAACCCUUUGAACAUAAAUAAAACACCUUUUAUUUAUCACCAUAUGAUUACACAUUAUUCAUUGUAUACUGUUUCAGCUAUCAACUUUAUUCUUGAAUUUAAAACAAUAGUUGUCCCAUGCUCCAAGCAUGUACACUAUGUUUUCUUAAACACUAGUCAUGCCACACACCAAGUAUGCAUACUAUGUUUGUCUAUGAUCUUUACUUUGUGAACUAGAUCAAUUGAACAUAACUUCAAUGAUUCUCUUUUCACACUCCCAAAUCCUUACUGCAAAUGCAAGAAUUCCAAAUUCAUGCCAUUUACUGAAAUCUGUUAGAUUCUAAACUUAUAUGCAUUGAUCCUCUUGUAAUGAUUAUGCACAAAGUCAGAAAGACUUGACAACAAUCAUUACAGAGUAUUCCAAAGGAGAUCAGCUCCUUGGAAACAUCCUUCUUGCAUUAAGUUUCCUAAUCUUAAACAGAUUGAAAAUUCUAACUUUGAAACAUUUCCAGAUUCCAUUUUGACUAUCACUUCUGAACAAGAGUUGCCUCCUUACAGAUUAUGUCAAUAUGGUCCUUCCAGAAUUAUCACUAUACUUCCAACUGUCCUUGAGCAACCAAUCUUUGGUAAACCUUAGAUUGUCCUCGACAAUUGUUUAAUCCUUUUAGUCAUAUCCAGUUCUAAACCUUUUCCCUUCUUAAUGCCCCAGGCAUUUGGAAAAUUUUAGAACGGAUGAAUAUAGCACAUGUAAUCGAUCCUAUAUCCGAAGCAUAUGGGACACGAUUCAUGAUGUCUUACAUAAAGACUAAACCAGUCUUUUGCUAUAAUAUUUCCAUUUCAAUUUGCCAAGUUCUCAUAAUUCAGAUUAUGAAAAGGGAUGCCGUAAUCAUAAUCGAAUUUUAGAACGCAAAUAAUGGACCCAUAUACAGAAUUUCCUUAUGUUGAGCCAUUCCAACAUGAAAUUCAUAUAUAUCCUUGACUAAAUGAUUAAAACCUCACGAUCUAAGCUUAUAGAUUUGAGAUGAAGUAUAAUUUCCUCUCCCUUAAUUAUAGCAAAACAACUUUUUCCCAAUUGAAACUUUUGUUUUCUAUAAUUAACAUUGCUAACUUGCAAUACUUAUCAUAAUUAUCAUGCUCCCACUAACAUGAUGAUUAUUAGCAUAACACUUAUGCUCCCACUAGCUUUGACAUGUACUCAGAAAUCAGCUGGACUUCUAGAAAUCAAUACUUCAUUGACUUUCUUACCAAAGUUCAGAUUUCUGAUGCUAGAUUGUUUUGAUAAAGCUGUAUCAAAAUCAUACACCUUCCCUUAGAUAGCACACUUGUGUAUCUAAACAAUUAUGAAGAGGGAUGCCGUAAUCAUAAUGUUUAGACCUUUUUGCCACUUCUCACAAGUCCAAAUUAGUGUGCCGGUUAACCACACGCGCUCCACUAACGACUUUGAGAAUGCAAAUAUCACAAUUGCUAUCUAGCUAAAAUCUACUUAGUGAAAGUGUUUCCUCACCAUCAUUUUCAUGAAUCGGAGAGAAACCUUAUGACACUUAGAUUUAAUGGUGUAUGUGUUCUUAUCCAUGUGAAUUGUCAAAACCAUAGUCACAAGACAAGGAUAAUGACAAAUCCAAACUCAUAUGGACUGAACUCAAUCUUAAUUUCUUGCCACCUGGCAGCUCAAGGGCCUACCAUUGCUUCCAAGUUGUUGUGCAACAAAUUGAGAACUCUAAGAACUCAUAUGCAAAACCAACUUUAACUGGAAUGGGCACAGAAUAUGUCAACACGAUAGGUUAUGAACCUCAAGUUGUGUGCUAGUGAAGAACUUUAGGUUUUAUUCUUGAUUAGUUCUUGAGACUUUCAAGACUUUUAAGACUCCCACUGACCUCUUGACCUAUAAGACUCCCUUGUCAAAUAUCCAAGAGAUAGUGUGGAUUCUAAUCAAGACAAACACUUCACACAAUUGGCCUAAGUUGGUCUUUGUUUUAUCCAAAACAUCACAACUUACCAAUUUCAAAUGUACAAGAGUAGAAAACUUUUACUCUUACAUUUGACAAGUGUUUUAAACCUUCUUUAAGACAUGUCACUCAAGUUACAAUCUUGGAGUAUGACUCUAAGACUUGUAUUGGAACGAAGUAUGACUCAUCUUCUUGAUUUAACCAUUUCAACAAUUCAAGUUCCUCUUCUUAGUCAUAAGAAUGCACUAAGAUUUCCUUAGAGAACUAAUUUUGAUAUGGUUUCUUAAUCAUUAAGAUGAUCACAAAACUGAUACUAAAGUACUCUCCCAUCUUUUCAGAUUUGAGAAACUUUUAUCCUUCUGCCUAAUUUGAUUCUUCUUAUUCGCUCUGCCAUACAUUGGAACCUUUUCCAAUGUCUCAGAGUUACACUUAAGCUUGUAAGUAUAAUCAUAUUUACUGAGCUUUAGUAAACUAUGACGAAUAGUCUUAUCAAUCUUUUGUGGUGGACUUAAUCAGUGCACAAGAAUGUGUACUCGAUCCCUUAGUCCUUUACUUGACUCACACAUCCAUGUGGCCGAGUAAUUAGUCUUAAUUUUCCAAAACUUGAAAGUUCUCAUUCAUCAUGCUAUACAACUUGCAUGAUUCCAAGUUCCGGUCCAAUUGAAACUUGGGUGAUGAGAAUCUUUCCUUAUUUGGUAAAUCUAGACAUUACCACAAAUGAAAGAAUCAAUUUCAUAUUUCCACUCUUGCUAUUAAUGGAAUCAUAUAAGCAACAAUUUUUCCUCAAAUGCCAUUGUAAGGAUAUUUUAAAAUAAAUAAAAUCAAAAAUUUUCUUUUAUUUUAAAACUUUGCGGAAAAACUUAUCCUUACAAUCCAUAUGAAAACUUGUUGUUAUCUAUUCCUAAGCAAUAUCUCAUAACUCCUAAGAAGUUGCUCAAGAAUCCGAUCUUCAAACUAUGCGAUAGAAAUCCAUCUACGCCAUCAGAUUCAGCAUAUUCUUUCUUUAAGUUUCUUCACUUUUCUUUGAUUCUUAAAACAUCACCAUGUGACCCAGUCACAUCAUGUAUCAGGAAUCUCAGAAUAGAAACUUAACAGAGUUAGAUAGUGGACUUUACCUGAAGUAGAGUCAAACUUAUUGACUUUAACAUCCUUAGGUAAAUUUGGCAGCUUCGCAACCAAUGCCCCUUCCUUUGGCAAUAUAAACAUAUGGACCCUUUGAUAAUGGUACACGAGACUAUCACAGACUUAGCUUUUCUCUUUACCAUUUGGUCAACCGAGUUGACUAUGGCCGAUCCCUUUCCAUUGGGAAGAGAAUGCUUUACUGGAUAUCCAAUGUCAUCAUUGUCAAUGUCCAUAAAGUUUUAGGAAGUUGAUCUUAGCAAAUAGAUAAGAUCAUUAAGGGUCUUGUCAUAGUCUGUUUCAUAGGUGUCCCAAAGGAACUCACUAUGUGACUUAGAAAGUGAUUGAACCACCAACUUUCUCAAGACUUUGACACCCAACUCUCCCGGCUUGUCAAUAUGUGACUACAUCUCCAAGAUGUGAUCACACCUAGACCUUGCCUUGCCAAUAGGGCUUGAGUGACCUUAAACUUUUCAAGAACUUGUGGGUUAGGGAGAAUAAUUGGAGGAGGAGAAAGAAGUAUGAUAUCCAUGGGACAUCAUCUUCAUUAGGAAACCUUGUUUCAAGAGAUUUGGGAAGAUCAUAGGUGUCUAAACCAGACAUCUUUUGGGAGAUAUUCAAGAUAGUUGAUUUAAAGUCCUUAAUAUGACACCCAAUAUGAAAUAUUAAGGCUAGGACCCAACAAACUAUUUUAUAACUUAGAAGAGGUAUGCCGUAAUCCAAGCUAUAAAAUAUUUGAAGGUAGGUGAAUGACGAUUCACCAAUUUCCACCAAGAUAAACGAAAUGUAUUAUUAGGUUUUAAUUGGUUUUGAAACUCCUAGAUCUUUGAGAUUCAUUGAACUGUUCAAAGGCAUGUUUCAAUCUCGAGUGUGCCCUUCAGGUUUUGUGACUGGGAUGCCGAGGAUCACAAAACAAGGUGUGAAGUAACCAUGCAAAUCACUUGGUACCCUUAAUAAAUUACCCCUCAAUCGAUGUGCCGGUUAACCACACACGCUCCAUCGAUACUAUGAUAAAUAUUAAGUCACCCUUUACCUACCUUGUUAAGUCCAAGUUAGUGUGCCGGUUAACCACACACGCUCCACUAACGACUUAGACAAAGUGUAAAGUGUAAUUUCAUGGAUUAGCACCUUAUUCACAUUUUUCCUAAGUAACUAAGAUUGGGUAUUAUUAAGAGUUUAGUUACUUAGUAUUAUCAUUAAUACUUUUAAUGAAGGGAGAAUUCUAGUCCUGUCAAACCCGUUCGGCUAACGACCCUCCACCAGUCAAGCAAGCGGUGGGUGAGAGUGGACACCCAUUAAGUUGCCAUUUUAUAGGCAACAACCUUAUACCCACCUUAUAGACCGGCUUCGUGAAUGAGGCGUACUAGCGGUAAGACUGACUUUACUCUUAUACAUAUAUAUAUUAUUAACUUAUAAUAUUAUAAAGUAUAAGGGUUGAAUUUUAACUUUUAAAAUUCUAAGGGCUAACUUGGAAUUAAAGUAUUCAUAAGUGAAAACUUUACAAAUUCCAAAACUUGAGGGCAAGUUUUGAAACUAUUCAAAACUAAUUAAUUCCAUAACUUAUGUGUUUAAAGUAGUUUUAAUCCAAAAACUCUUCAAGUUCCAUAACUUGAGGACAAGUUAUGGAAGACUUUAAACUAAUAAAAGAAUUAACUUUUCUUUAUUUUAUAACUUAUGGAAUUAAUUAAGGUUACACUUUUUUUUUUUUUAUUUUAUUUUAUUAAAUGAAGAGACUCUUGGUCCUCCAUAACUUGAGGACAAGUUAUGGAGUCAUAAAACCAUUUAAUUAGAACUAGACUCUUCAUUUUUGUAACCUUUGCCAAUUUUUAUGAGUUUUAUGAUUCUUAAAUGUGACUUUUCAUAUAACUUGAGGACAAGUUACAAAAACACAUUUUAGAAUCAAUUCUUAGAUUAAUUUGGAUUAAAACCAACUAUCACAUAAUUUUAUUCAUUAAUCUAAAUUCACUCAUAAAACAAGGUAACACAAAAAACUUUUGGUGAUCCAUAACUUAUUCUUAAGUUAUGGAAUCCUUUAAAACAUUAACACCAAAUUUUGUAACUCCAAAAAAACUUUGAAUCAAUUUUUUUUUUAAAACCUUUUCAUAUCCAUAACUUAUGGAGGUUUCAAAAAAUAAAACUCUUUAGAUCAAACUUUUAAAACUAAUAAAAUAAUCAUAUUAUUUUAUCUUUUAUUAAAUUUGACCUAAUUCAACUCAUAAAGCAAAUUAUUCAAAUUUUACAAAUAAUUAGUUUUUCACAAGAACAAGUAAUUAUCUUAAAAUUUGACAAACUUCAUGUUUUUUUUUUUUUUUUUUUUCAACUUUGAAAAUAAAAUAUUUGCAUCAAUAUAACAGAAAACAACCCGUGGCUCUGAUACCACUGUUGGGUUUUGAGCAUUCUAACACUUCCUAAGUGUACAUGCAACCCUAAAUACCUUGGAUCUAUGUUUUCUCUAUUAUACAUGCAAAUAAGAACUUCCAAGGUAUUAUCCUAAUAUAGCAUACAAAACAAUAACUAUAGCAAGAUAGAAUACAUACCUCUUUGG
rnacentral:lncRNA from 1 species